CAAGCCCCAGUCAGGCCCUCUGCAAAUCUGAAAAUCCAAGGUAGGGUCAGGAAGCUGUUGACUUGCCCUGCUGGGCUGGUGAAAGCAGACACGAAGUAGCAAGGCUGGUCUGUAGAGGUUGCAGUGAGCCAAGACCAUCACACCACUGCACUCCAGCCUGGUCGACAGAGUGAGACUCUUGCGACUUGUACCUUGUUUUCUCUGUGUGGAGUAGAGCUCUGAAUAUUGCCUCUGACAUUUUUACCUAAUUUCUGAUAUCACUGUAGAAUCUCAAAUUCAACAUUUUCAAAUCUCACUUUGAAAAACCACUAUUUUGGAUAUGUUCUGGAAACAAUAGGUUUAUCUUUGUGUUUAAAAAUAAUAGAAAAGCUUCAUGACUUCAUGUCACCAUCUGAUAAAAGGACAGUACACAGUGAGUGAGGUGAGACUGAAUGGACUGCUUGUUCGAUAAUUUUUUUUUUUUGAGAUGGAGUCUCACUCUGUUGCCCACGCUGGAGUGCAGUGGCGCAAUCUCAACUCACUGCAACCUCCACUUCCCAGGUUCAAGUAAUUCUUCUGCCUCAGCCUCCCAAGUAGUUGGGACUACAGGCACACACCACCACACCCGGCUAAUUUUUGUAUUUUUAGUGGAGAUAGGGUUUCACCAUGUUUACCAGGCUGCUCUCAAACUCCUGACCUCAAGUGAUCUGCCCACGUCGGCCUCCCAAACUGCUGGGAUUAGGGGCAUUAGCCACUGCGCCCAGCCUUGUUCAAUAAAAUCUAAUUUCAUAUAGUAAUAAUUAUUUUUUCCUUUUUUGGCUGUUUGUGUUAAAUCAUUCUACUCAAAGGAAUCAUUUGUCUCAUCCACAACAUAUACAUUUCUAUAUCUGUACUGUGGUCCUAGUCACUAUAGUUCUAAUAUUUUUAUGAAUUCUAAUAUUUACUCGAUUCAUUCUAUCUCUGCUUUUGCCCUUCAACACUGAGCCAUUGAGCUAUUUUUUGGAAUUGGCGUAGAAUACCUAUAAUCAAUGAAAAUUUGUGAAUAAGAAUGGCAGAUAAUGGAAAAAUAUAUCAGCUGAGGUGAACUGCACUCAGCUGACCAAAUACUAGCCAAGACAAAGUGAUUAACACUCUUUUUGGCAUAUAUAUAAUCUUAAAGAUGAUUAAUAACAGGAUUCCUACAACAAUAAUGAUUCACACGAUUUUUAAUUAAUAAAAUACGUAAGAAUAAAAUGACUGCAUUGAUUUUUCCUCUGAAACUGCGAAAGCACCUGCAGAUCACCUAACUGACUUUGGGGUAUGGUGGUGGGGGGAUCCCCCAGUGGUCUUUGAGCCACAUUGAGAAACUCUGCUCUCAGUCUUCCAGCUUACAUUAGUUAGGCUUGUGUAAACACACAGCCAAAAGUUGUCAUGAUAUCCGAUCCCACUGUCAAUUCAAACUGAACUCCAUGAAGAAGUAUCUGUCUUCUCUCCUUGUUCCUUACCCUAUGUCCAACUCCCAGCCACUGCUCUUCCCACCCUGGUCUAUGCAAACCUCUCCUCAACAUCUCAAGUCAGGAAGCCUGUGAUACUAACAUUGAACUAGGGUUGAAUCCUACUGCUGUUCUUCUAAGGCAGUAAUUCUCAACCUUGGCAACUCAUUAAAAUCAUCUGGGGAGCUUUAAAAAAAUUUCAAAGUACUGCUGCCUAGAAGCUACCCCAGAUCAAUUUAAUCAGAAUCUCUGGGGUGGGAUCCAAGUACUUGUAUUUUUAAAAGGCUUCUCUGGUGUAGGCAGGAUGAGGAUAACUGCCUAAGAUGACACUGACAUAAGGCAUCUCCCAUAGCAGCCGCUCAAAUUAUCAUGUCUACGGGGUCCACCCUUGUUCUAGGUUCAUCUCUCGUCAGGGCUACUGUGACAAGCUUCUUGUUGGAUUCUCUGGAUCCAGUGACAUCUACUGUCAUCACAGUUGUCAAACGGUCUUUGCUGUCUUUCCCUCUGGCUAUGUCACUCUCUUCCUGCAACUCUCUUCCCAACUUGACUGCACACUGGAAUCACGGAGGCCUAUAAAGCACCAAUGUCUGGGCUGUACCCCAUACCAAAUAAACCACCACCUCCAGGGAUGGGAAUCAUGAGAGGGGUUAAAAAGCAGCUAGGAUUGAGAAGCAGUAUUCUAGGAGUUGCAGUAUCUAGUAUGACUACCACAUCUAGGUUAAUUUAGCUACUACAGAUGAGCUUGUUCUGAGCUGACAGCCAUUCUCAACAAGGAACUACUUUCGCUCAAGAGCUUACAGUCCACUGGCAAAGACAGACUUGAAAGACCAGUCAUCAGAUCACAGUGAAGUAAGUGCCAACAGAAAGAUUAAACAUCUUCUGAGGAGAGAGCAAGUAAUGGCUGGUUAAGUUAGGGAAGGCUCGUCAGGGGAAAUUAUACUUGAACGAGGUCUGGAGGGAAUCAUCCAGCCCAAAGGAUGAGGGGCAAAAGACGUUUUCUUAGAAACAUACAUUCAUUCUUUAAAAUAUUUUAAUUACCUAUGCAUACUGACACAUAACAUUUCUAUUACAUGUUUUUGAUCAGUUAAGACAAUGCUUCCCACUCUUUUAAAUGCCAUGAUACAAAGAGAAAAUAUCUGCAUAUUCCCUGAUUAAAGGAGGCUCUUACUGGUGGAGGUAACGGGCGUGGGACUCCAGCUGAGGGCAGCUAGAUCUCAGCAUACCGGUCACCCUUUGCAUGCCAAGGCACGCCUGCAAGGACGCUCCAAAUGAGCACCCCUUUGGCUACCAGUAACAGAAAAGCCAAUUCAAACUGGCCUAAGCGACGAUGGGUCUUUUCCUCUCACAGAAUGAAAGGCACAGGGAUGGGCACCUCCAAGUAUAGACUGUCAGAGCUCCGCUUCUCCGUCAUUUUCUUGGCUGUGCCUUACUUGGCAUUGGUGUCAUCCCCAGGCUGGUACCAGAUUGCUGCCACAUUGCUAGAUGUGAUCAGGUCAGGGGAGGAAGAGAGGUGUCCUUCCUUGUAUGUCUAUGUCUCCCUGUGAAGAAAGUUUUCUGAGAAGCCUGCAGAGAGUUACUCCUCAUAUUCCCGCAGCCAGAAUCUUGUCAAAUGUCCCUGCCUAACCCAAUCUUUGGCAAGGAGAAAUGCAACACCAUGAUCAGCUUAGAUGAACCAGGAUGAACUCACAGAAAUGUGGACCAGAUUUGCUUUCACACAGACACAUAGGGAGGGGUAAACAACCACACAAAGUCAAGGAUUUUCCAGCAAGUAAGACAGUGGGACUGGUUGUUGGGUAGGCAACCAAUAGCGUUUGCCUCAUAUCAGAAAGAGGCUGUACAGCAUCGUAAUUAAGGGCACCACUCUGGAGUCGGGCGGUGAGCUCAAAUUCCACUCUACCAUUGCCAACUGAGUAUAUGGGCUUCAGUUUUUUUGUCUCUGAAAAGGAAAUGAUACGAGUUCCUAACUCGGGGUUGCUGGGAAGAUGAAAUGAGGAUUAAAGGUACAUUGCUUAGAAGCAACUCUGGCAUAUGUGCACAUUAUGAUGUGGCUCAAUGUUAGUGGUCAUUUCUGUAGUGUCCGCCAUGGGUUAUAACAGCCAACAGGCAGGACCACAUCUGUGGGUAAGACAGGUUUUCUCUGAUUAGCACUGAGCCAGUGCCACACUCAAUUAGACAUUCAAUAAGUUCAUUUUUUUGCAUAUUAAUAAUUUAAAAUCUAUGUCUUCUUCUUGCUAAUAAAAAAUAUGCUACCAACUAAAAAGUAACUUUUUUACAAUUAGAAAUACUUCUAAAGCAGAGGUGCUCACCCCGCAGGCUGGGGACUGUUAAGAACCAGGCUGCACAGCAGGUGAACCUCAGGCAAGUGAGCAUUCUCGCCUGAGCUCUGCCUCCUGUCAGAUCAGCAGCAGCAUUAGAUAGUCUUUUUUUUUUUUUUUUUGAGAUGGAAUCUCACUCUGUCGCGCAGGCUGGAGUGCCGUGGCAUGAUCUUGGCUCACUGUAACCUCCAUCUCCCGGGUUCAAGCGACUCUCCUGCCUCAGCCUCCCAAGUAGCUGGGAUUACAGGCUCACGCCACCACGCCUGGCUAAUUUUUGUAUUUUUAGUACACACGGGGUUUUGCCAUGUUGGCCAGGCUUGUCUCGGACUCCUGACCUCAGGUGAUCCACCCACCUCAGCCUCCCAAAGUGCUGGGAUUACAAGCGUGAGCCACUGCGCUCCGCCUGGCAUUAAAUUCUCACAGGAGCACAAACCCAAUUGUGAACUGUGCAUGAGAGGGAUCUAGGUUGCAAGCUCCUUAUGUGACUCUAAUGCCUGAUGAUUCGAAGUGGGACAGUUUCAUCCCUAAACCAUGCCCUCCUCCCCACCCCCGUGGAAAAACUGUCUUCCACAAAACAGGUCCCUGAUGCCAAAAAGGUUGGGGACCACUGUUCUAAAGUAUUUGAAGAUAUUACUGCAAAAAAAAAAAAAGAAAGAAAGAAAGAAAAAAAAGAAAUGUUACCAAGUAAAAGGUAACAUUUAACAAUUGGGAAUACUUCAAAAAAUCUACUGCUCCCUGGAAAGUAUAUUAAGAUAACAGUAAUUACAAUUUACUAUGAAUAUUUAUUGAGCCUUCACUAUGUGCUGGGAACUGCUUUAAAUGCCUUACAUACAUUAUCUCAUUUAACCCUAAAACCAAUCUUUGGAGUCAGGAUUAUCAGUAAAACACUUAAAACUAAACUUCAAUGAAAAUAUAAGUUUGUUUUUAAAGGACAAACUUUUCCAGAAUUUCAUGUUAAACAAAAAUUUAAGCUACUCAAUUCCUAGUUCUAAGACACACUUUCUCUCCUUACUAUUCCUACCCCCUGCCCCAUUUUAGCAUUUCUGAACUCAGGAUGCCUCUUAAAAUAUUUAGACUUGGCCGGGUGUGGUGGCUCACGCCUCUAAUCCCAGCAUUUUGGGAGGCCGAGGCGAGUGGAUCGCCUGAGGUCAGGAGUUUGUGACCAGCGUGGCCAACAUGGUAAAACCCGUCUCUACUAAAAAUACCAAGAAAAUUAGCUGGGUGUGGUGAUGCAUGCCUGUAAUCCCAGCUACGUGGGAGGCUGAGGCAGGAGAAUCGCUUGAACCCAGGAAGUGGAGGCUGCAGUGCCAUUGCACUCCAGCCUGGGUGACAAGGGCGAAACUCCAUCUCAAAAAAUAAAACAAAAUAAAAUGUUUAGACUUCACUAUAAUAAUGCUUUCCCCUUUUACCUGGGCUAUUAGCUUGGUAGGGCAUUCACAGGAGAGGAAGUGCAGCAGUUACAACCAUCUCCGAGUCAAGCUCCAUGUUUUUUUUUUGUUUUUUUGUUUUUGGUUUGUUUGUUUGUUUGUUUGUUUGAGUGGGAAUCUCCCUCUGUCACCCAGGCUGGGGUGCAGUGGCGUGAUCUUGGCUCACUGCAACUUCUGCCUCCCGGGUUCAAGCGAUUCUCCUGCUUCAGCCUCCCAAGUAGCUGGGACUACAGCAUGCACCACCAUGCCUGGCUAAUUUUUUUUUUUUUUUUUUUUUUGAGACGGAGUCUCGCUCCGUCGCCCAGGCUGGAGUGCAGUGGUGUAAUCUCAGCUCACUACAAGAUCCGCCUCCCGGGUUCAUGCCAUUCUCCUGCCUCAGCCUCCUGAGUAGCUGGGACUCUAGGCACCUGCCACCAUGCCCUGCUAAUUUUUUGUAUUUUUAGUACAGAUGGGGUUUCACCGUGUUAGCCAGGAUGGUCUCGACCUCCUGACCUUGUGACCCGCCCGCCUUGGCCUCCCAAAGUGCUGGGAUGGAUUACAGGUGUGAGCCACUGCACUGGCCCAAGAUCCAUGUUUUACUUAUUAACCAAGUAUAUGCUGGUGAGAUCCUCUCUUCCACAGAGGGCCUUAAAAUGAGAAUCUAAUAAGUAACUGCAGUGUCACAUUUCCCCUGAUGCUGGUAGCCAAGUAAUCCCCACUUUAGAUUGUAGAAAUUUUGUGAAAUAGUGUGGACCUGAACAUUAAAGCCUAAGUGAUAUGUCCCCAGUCCUGCAGGUGGUUUAUCGCCAAGAUUUCUCACUUUGCUUCAGUCCAAGGACCAAGUAAAGAACUAGAAAUUCAAGAACACCAUUUAAAUCCUAGGUCUACCAACUGAUUUUCUGGGUGCUAUGAGCAGUGACUGAAAUGCCCUGGACUCUCCUCCUUCAUCUGUUAAAAGAUAUCAACAGUGCCUACAGAAGGUCUAAGGGUAUUAAGAGUAACUAACAGGAUUGUUGUGGUUCCAAAAUACCUCACAUUUUCUCCCACUCAUAUCUGUUUCCUCCCUUACUGCACACGAAGGCCUAAAUCUCCCAACCCAUUAAUGAUUCAUCUUAUUAAAGGAAAUCAGCUGCUUGCCUGGCAGCUAACAUAGUUCUGCUUCAUGACUACUUGAAUUAAUUUGAUUUUCUUCAAUCAUCUAUAAGAAUCUAUUCAAUUUCAGAAAAGUACGUGUUAACAACGUAUUGACAGAAUAAAGAAGUAGAGUUCACCUGGCCCUGGCAGCAGCCUCUGUGCCCCAGGUUUUCCCAACCAGCCCUGCCCCACUGGAGUUCCUGCUGCCUCCACAUCCCACAGAAGAUCAGGCUCUUCCCAUAAUUACUAGCCACCAGGGCUCCCCUCUGCCCAAGAAUGAGAUCCAAACUCCUUAGGUGAAUGGAAGAGCUUCUCCACAAUAUCCAUUCCCCACCCACCCUUCCAGCUUCACAGCCCAUCAUUUCCUCCUUGUACCCUGCACUGCAGGCAUGGUGGGAGGGUGGGGAUGUGUGGAGAGAGAGAGAGAGACAGAGACAGAGAGAGAGAGAGAGAGACAGAGAGAGUGUGUGUGUGUGUGUGUGUGUGUGUACAAAGGGAACCACCAAAUCUACCAACCUCCCUGCAGCCACCUCCACAUGUGCCUCCCCAUCUUUGAUAGUGGGUAAACCUUCUGUGUGCUCAUCAAAGACCCACUUUACUCCUAUUGUAGAUCCCCACCCUCCCACCACCUCAAUAAAUAUGGUCACUGCAAUCAUCCACUAUCCGCUCCAUUCUCAUCAGCUUCAUUCAUUCAUUCAUUCAUUCAGAGACAGAGUCUUGCUCUGUCACCCAGGCUGGAGAGCAGUGGCGCCAUCCCUGGCUCACUGCAGCCUCAACCUUCUGGGCUGAAGUGAUCCUCACACCUGAGCCUCCCAAGUAGCUGAGAACACAUGUACACACCACCAUCGCAAGCUAACUUUUUAAAAUUUUUGUAAAGAUGGAGUCUCACUUUGUUUUCCAAGAUGAUCUUGAACUCCUGGGUUCAAGCAAUCCUCCCACCACCUCGGCCUUGGAAAGUGCUAGGAUUACGGGCGUGAGCCACCAUGCCCAGCCAGCUUCUUUCUCUUUGCCCAGGUUAUUCUCUUCAGCACACAAAUGUGCUCUGAUAGACUGUUCCCUUAAAACAUCCUCACUUGGCUUCACAUCCUUCUCCAGCAAUUUCCCUAUUUCUUUAAUUUUACAGUAGGACUCCCUGAAAGAGCUGCCUGUACUUGAUGUCUCAACUUUCUUGCCCCACCUUCUCUCAACUCACUCCAGUUAAACUUCUUUUCCCAAUAUUCUAUCACAAUUGCCUUCUUCCAGGUCACCAGUGACCCCCACUGAACCAAAUCCCACAGUCCACCCUCAGUCCUCAUAACUUCCACUUCUCAGCAGCUGAUAUUCCUGACACCACAGCUCAGUCCGCACACCACUGAUCUUCUUUCCACCUCCUUCCACGUUGUGCUUCUCCAGUUUCAUGACGUCAAAUACCAUCUGUAUCCUGAAGGCUCCGCAAAUUCAGAUCUCUAGUCAUGGGCUGCCUCAUGAACUCCAGCUGUAUUUCCACUAGCCAUUUCAGACUCAAAUUUUUUUUUUUUUUUUAAGAUGGAGUCUCGCUCUCAUCGCCCAGGCUGGAGUGCAAUGGCGCCAUCUCAGCUCACUGCAACCUCCACCUCCCAGGUUCAUGUGAUUCUCCUGCUUCAGCCUCCCCAGUAGCUGGGGUUACAGGCACCCGACACCACGCCUGACUAAUUCUUGUAUUUUUAAUAGAGAUGGAGUUUUGCAAUGU
rnacentral:lncRNA from 1 species